GCCUACGGCCAUACCAGUCUGAAAAGUGACAGAUCUCAGAAUUCAUGCAAACUUGGGCCUGCUUAGUACUGGUAUGGGAGACCAACUAGGAACCUCAGGUGCUGUAAGCU